UCCCUGGUGGCUCAGAGGUUAAAGCGUCUGCCUGCAAUGCGGGAGACCUGGGUUCGAUCCCUGGGUUGGGGA
rnacentral:tRNA from 1 species